rnacentral:rRNA from 1 species
CCUACGGGGGGCUGCAGUGGGGAAUAUUGGACAAUGGGGGCAACCCUGAUCCAGCCAUGCCGCGUGUGUGAAGAAGGCCCUCGGGUUGUAAAGCACUUUCAGUGAGGAAGAACGCCUGGUGGUUAAUACCCAUCAGGAAAGACAUCACUCACAGAAGAAGCACCGGCUAACUCCGUGCCAGCAGCCGCGGUAAUACGGAGGGUGCGAGCGUUAAUCGGAAUUACUGGGCGUAAAGCGCGCGUAGGUGGCUUGAUAAGCCGGUUGUGAAAGCCCCGGGCUCAACCUGGGAACGGCAUCCGGAACCGUCAAGCUAGAGUGCAGGAGAGGAAGGUAGAAUUCCCGGUGUAGCGGUGAAAUGCGUAGAGAUCGGGAGGAAUACCAGUGGCGAAGGCGGCCUUCUGGACUGACACUGACACUGAGGUGCGAAAGCGUGGGUAGCAAACAGGAUUAGAUACCCCAGUAGUC